UCUGCCCACCUCGGUCUCCCAAAGUGCUGGGAUUACAGGUGUGAGCCACCAUGCCCAGCCAGGGAAGAGUUCUUGAAGGAGACAAUACUUAGCUUGAAUCCUGAAGGAUGAACUUGGAGAAAAGAGGGGAAAGGCCAUUCCAGAUGCAGGGAGGUGCACAUAAAAAGGCCCCUGAACAGCACAGCAUGUGCAGAGAUCAAGAGGCGGCUGGAGAAGGCUGGCAAGUAAAGCAAGAGGAUGUGCGUGGGCACGAAGAUAAAUAUUCAAGCUGACGAUUCAAGUCCUGUUGAUGAUAAGGACUUCUAUGCAGAAAUGGUCAGCAGAUUAUCUUUUCACACAAAGGACAAACUAUUGAGCAUGAAGAACUCCAUGCUUCAGGACAGCUACAGUGAAGCUAUCCACAUCAUCAUGUGCAAGUGGUACUUUGCACUGGAUUUAUUAACUCAGCAAAAGUCUAUGCAUCUUCUAUUAACUAGCUAUAAAUGAGCUUUAAUAAACAUAUGCAAUAAAAAUCUUGAUUAUUGCAUAUGUUAUACAUUUAUUAAGCUCUUUUAUAAACUACAAACGUAAAAUUUCAUACUAUUGUAUAAAUGCUGAAUUUGGGUUUAGUUUUCAUCCAAGAAUAAUGCCCCUCAUAUAUUUUAAAAAAUAGAUCAUAGUAAAUAGCAUUGAACACUACUUCUUUUUAUUUAGUGACACAAAUAAAAAUAACUUUGAAAGAAGCUGAAAGUUUAAGAAUGUUAUUAGUUUAUCAUUGCUAGUUUAAACACUGGAAGAUUAAAUCAAUACAUCUGAAUGAUUUGUCUAUAACAAUGUAAUUAAAUACUCCAUUAGUUGCAGUUGAAGCGCUCAGUAUUUAUGGAUGGAGAAAACUAUAACGUUAUCACUUUUAUUUCUCUUUCCAUAUGAAUGAUCCUAUAAGUGCCCUUUGACUAACUGAUUGACAGUGUAAAAAUCACUUUAUCUCUCUGCAUUCAUUUUCUCAUCUGUUAAAUUAGAUGAAGGAUACUUUCUUCCUCCUGGGUUUGUAAGGGUUAAAUGAGAUAAUUCAUGAAAACAGCUUAACUCAGAAUCUGGUCUAUCAAAAGCACUAAAUAACCGACAGCGAUUUUUAAGACAGUUAACACAAAAAAACUUGGAACAAAUUAAUGAGUCAGUAAUCUCAUUGAAAAUUUAAAAAAUUAUAAAUCUCUACCCCAGCAAUAUGACUUGAAGAUUAACUCUCUGAGAUUUACAUUUUUGAAAAACAUAGUUUAGGCAAGAGGCAAUUAAUUCUAAGAAUGCAACAAUGUUGAAGGGAGGAGAUUUCUAACUUUCCAUCACUGAUUUGACCAAAGUCAUAGGAUCAUGUCCCAGUGUUGGAUAUUAACCCAUAGCUUUGAUAACAGAAUUCUAAAAACACAUUUCUCUUCUUGGUCUAGAACACCUCAAACAGCAUACUUUCUUUAGAAUGUACCAUUUUUUCAAUGACCCAAUGUUGAGCCAUUUUACUGAACAUAGCUUAUUGUAGAUUAGUUAACUCUAUCGCUAGCCACUCUUUAAACUUUCCAAACUUUAAGCAUUUUUUUAAAAUUUGUGCUUGAGUAUUGCUUUGAGCCAAGCAAAUUAAACCUUUGCAGCUUCAAAAGGAACAGCUAAGUGUUGAUAAUAUUAACUGCAUAAUUUCAGAGUCAAUUUUAUGUUGUACUUGCCAAAGAUUUUCAACCAAGAAAUUAAACAGUAAUUAGAAUUUAUCUUCCAAUUGCAAUCUAAAAGUGAUCAUUCUUUAAAUGUGCUAGAUUGUAUCUCACAGGUUUUUAUUACGGAAAUUCUCACAUUACAAAACUAUCAUUUUAAUAGGUGUACUUGGUACAUUAUGCAUUGGGCACAGAAAUUAUUUAUUUAGAGAGAACUGCAUUAAUACUAAAAUCAUUUAUAUGCUAAGUAAUUAUUACUCAAAAGAUUUUAUUUGCAAUGAAUUAUUUUUUUAAUAUGGGAAACCAAGAGAAAUGUAUAGUGUAAUAAAUUUCUAGUUAAAGUACAUAGAAAUUUCUAAGAAAAAGUAGGCUGAUUUUCAGAAAUAGGGUCAUAGAAGUGCUUCUCCAUAAUGUACUAGUAAAUGUAGAUUAAUGCCUUAUUUUGAAUCACUUCAAAAAUAGUAUAAGAGUACUUGUUCAAUGAGGUAUUAUUAAGACUAGGAGAACACUCUUCUGUGUAUAAUAUACAGCUAUGUUUAACUUGAAAUAUCAGUUUGGCAAGGUAAAUGAAGAAUACAUGGCAAAAGCAAUUUUUAAUCUACUCACCUAUUAUAUUUGGGAGAAUUGUUGGGAGAACUAAGUGAUUCGUUAGAAAAAGACACUGUGAACAAUUGCACCUAAAACAACUGGUCUUUGUUGCCAAAGAACUGUGUUGUAAAUUAAAUGGCCUAAAAUAGUAAGGUAUAAGCUUGCUCCAUAUCUUACUAAAAUUUGUACAAAUGAA